CAAAGGAAGUUGACGGGGCCCGCACAAGCGUGGAGCAUGUGGUUUAAUUCGAAGCAACGCGCAGAACCUUACCAACCCUUGACAUGGGUAUCGCGGCCUCAGAGAUGGGGCUUUCAGUUCGGCUGGAUACCACACAGGUGCUGCAUGGCUGUCGUCAGCUCGUGUCGUGAGAUGUUCGGUUAAGUCCGGCAACGAGCGCAACCCACACUCUUAGUUGCCAGCAUUCGGUUGGGCACUCUAGGGGAACUGCCGAUGAUAAGUCGGAGGAAGGUGUGGAUGACGUCAAGUCCUCAUGGCCCUUACGGGUUGGGCUACACACGUGCUACAAUGGCAGUGACAAUGGGUUAAUCCCCAAAAGCUGUCUCAGUUCGGAUUGAAGGCUGCAACUCGCCUUCAUGAAGCUGGAGUUGCUAGUAACCGCAGGUCAGCUAUACUGCGGUGAAUACGUUCCCGGGCUUU
rnacentral:rRNA from 1 species